UAGAUUAUAUGUUCAGAGAAUUUUACUACGAUAUCCCUGCCAGCCAAUCCUAACAACUUUCCCCAUAGGUUUCAACACAUUUACACAUUUUUUUGUGAAGGAGCAACACCAACGCACAUGUAUACGUCAUUUUUGAAAACUUAAUUAGAAUUUUCCAAACAAAAGAAAACUAGUUAUCUCAUUUCUUGUUCUUAUUGAAUGAGUACGAAUGGGAAAACAUAAUUGUCAUUAGUGGCAAAAGAAAAUCCCAAAAUGGGAAAUAAAAAAAUAUUGAAAAACGUCAUUUGCGCUUAUAAAACAAAAAAGUAUUCAAACGUUGCAACAUUCGCUUUUCGGAACUCAGGAGCACAUAAAAAUUGUAUGUUGGAUUUGUAUGUCUUCUAUGUCUAAAGUGGCCUGCGUAGUGCAAAAAUUGUGUGAAAAUAAAUAUGUUUAAAGAUUUCUGCGCUGUUGUAAAAUUAUUCAAAAACAAAUAUGAGCGGCCUGCGCAGUGCAAACAUUUUAUACGAUCCAAUAUGUGCAAUAUGUCUCCAGUGGGGUUGAUUUUCAAAUAUGUGCGGUUUAAUUUACAUAAAAUUUGAAGGCAUUGAUUAUAAAAAUUUAUUUAUUAUUUUUUUUUAUACUCUCGCAACAAAGUUGCUGAAGAGAGUAUUAUAGUUUUGUUCACAUAACUGUUGUUUGUGUCACAAAGAAAUAAAAGAGUAAGAUAUGGGAUUAUAUAUAUAAAUAAUCAAGAUGACGAGUGGAGUUGAAAUCCGGAUGUCUGUCCGUCCGUCUGUACGUGCAAGCGAUAACUUGAGUAAAAAUUAAAAUAUCUUAAUGAAACUUAGAACACAUGUUCCUUGGGACCGUGAGAGGGUUGCUUUCGAAAAUGGGCAAAAUCGGACCAUUGCCACGCCCUCAAAAUGGCGGAAACCAAAAACACAUAAAGUGUCAUAACUAAGCCAUGAUUAAAGUUAUAACAGUAAAAUUUGGAAUAAAGGAUCGCACUAGGAAGGGGCAUAUUUGGAUGUAAUUUUUUUGGGGAAGUGGGCGUGGCCCCUUCUCCAAAUCGGUUAUUUGUAUAUAUACAAAUCAAUGAAGCUACACAUAUAAACCAAACUUUCUACAGUCGAUUCUCUUACGUACCCCACCACACACCAUGAAAAUAGUUGAAAUCGGAUAAUAACCACGCCCACCUCCCAUGCAAAGGUAAAGUUCAAAAUUACUAAAAGUGAGUUAACUCACUAACGAAAAAAGGCUGGAACACUAAAUUUUACCGAAAAAAAUAACAGAAAGAAGCCGCGCUGAGAUUUUUUUACAAAAUGGAAAAUGGGCGCGGCAUCGCCCACUUAUAUGUCAAAAACCCUACCACAAGAACUACUCGACAGAUUUCAAUGAAAUUCGGUAUAUAACACUUUCUUGACACCCUUGAUAGAAUAUGGGGACAAUCGGUUCACAACCACGCCUACUUCUCAUAUAACUCAAUUUUGAAUUCUUCUAAUCCGUUCACUUUAUAAUAUAUACAUUAGUAACCAAUGAAGAUGGCGGAAUAAAACUUUACAGAAAUACUGUAAUUGAGCUAUGACAUCACUUGUGGAAAAAUUGUCAAAAUCGGACCAUGACUUUUCAACUUAUCGAACAUGAAGAACUUAGUGCCUAAGGGUAAUUUUUAACCGAAAAUAUAGUUUGUCUCUGUACCAAAAGUGGUUAAAAUCGGGUCAUAACUUCCCCCAGAUCCCAUUUACCUAAUUAUAGGUGAAAUAAAAUUAAGUGAGCGUAUAUUCUUCGAUAUAUUGUAUCUUGGUGGUGAAAACGAGUGAAAUCGGUUCAGGAAUUACCUCAGUCCCCAUAUACUACUUAAGAUGAUUUUCGUUACUCUAUUGAUCUUUAUGCCUAAUAUAUGGGUCGAAUUGUGUUAUCUUUAUAAAAUUACAUCAAUAAAUUGCGAGAGUAUAAAAUGUUCGGUUGCACCCUUUUCUUACUUGUUUAUGUAUGUAAGCGCCAUUUUAUGAAAUAUUUAAAACAAUACAAUAAAUGUGCAAAUGAUUUAUUUAAAUAAAAAAGCAAAUUAUCAAAAUUUUA